GCAUCAUGCGUUUUUUAACUUGUCAAAGGAUAGAAAUUAGAUAAGAGACAGCAGAUCAUAUGCAGCACAAGGUUUUAGGGAAGCCUAAGAGCUUGAGAGUGGUGCCGGAUGUGAUCUUCAAUGAAGGUAGCAAUGAAAAAGUAAGAAUGAUUGUAACCUGGUUGCAGCCUCAAGAGGAGAGGAGCAUUCACAGCCCUGCAUGCCUCUUCAAACUUGUAUGGUAGCAACUGUCCAUGUAAGAAUUCAUCAUCCUCCCCCUGAUCAAUUAGAAUGGUUGCUGAUACAUUGUGAAACUUUGAGAUGAGAUGAGUAGCAUCGUAUUCCUCCCAGUCAGCUUUGUUGCUACCUAAAU
rnacentral:misc_RNA from 1 species